GUCAGCAUUGAAAGAAAAUACUAAAGAAAAGAGGUAUAACCUGCUUCACAAAGGUUCAUGAAAUAGGUAUUAUAACAUAGGUAGAUUACAUGGAAAAGAGUCUUGCAAGGGAAAUCUGGAGACAGUCUUGUCAUCCAACAUUUUUGCAAGACGCUGCACUUAUGCCUUGACCUGCAACAUCUUGGUUGCAAGUCCAUGACCAGUGCAUUGCCCAGGUAAGAUUUUAUCCAGAUUUUUAAUUCAAUAAUUUCAUGUAUGACUAUUAUUCCAGUUUCUACAGGCCAACGGAACCCACUCUCUAUGCAGCUUCGAAACAUACCAUAACACUUCAUCAUGACAAGUGGGAAUAAUUAAGGCUCAAUAUAAAUAGUAGCAUCAUAAUUUCUAAAUAUAAAUAGUAGCAUCAUAAUUUCUA
rnacentral:misc_RNA from 1 species